UCCUCUUCCUCGUCUGCCAUCCGGUUUCACUGGGCGCUCUGCGGAUACAGACAGAAAUAAAGGCUUACUCCACAUAAUAUCACAAUAAAGUGGUCACGGGCAUCAUGAAGAACAGCAGCUGCGCGGAUGCUAACAGUCAGCUACACAGCUCGGUGUGUAACUGAGCUCCAUCACCGCCUCUGCAAACCCUUACCUGGUUUUGUAUCCUUACCUGUCUAGGGCCUGCCCAACAAGGUGGAUGAUGGGUACUCAGAUGACCAACGGGUCUCGUGUCAUGGGGUGCCUUAAGCUUGAGCAUGGCAGUGUGUCACUAGCCAGUCUGCAGUCGCCAGUUGUGUCACUAUCCAGUCUCCAUGGCUCCAUGUCCGAGACCCGACGGCGGCGGGCACUACCUUAUCACCGUGGCAACAUGUCUGGGAUGUCAUCCACCCCCCCAUUCUGUAAAACACAAUGCAGCCCCCAUCCAGCAGCAAGAUCAUCAAAAAAUUAAUUGCUAUUGUCUCACUAUACAUCCAUCAUACAUUAUCUAACAGCUGUCAAGGCAGGGUUAAAAAUGAUGAUGGAUAAUACUAAUAGAUACUAAUGAUGACGUGAAUGAACAAUGUUGACAUGCUGGUGUAAUUAAGCAAUUAAACAU